AUGUGUUGCAGCUAUGGAAUGGUGAAAGGGCGAAUCUUGAAGCCUGCCUUUGCUUUCACCAGUCAGGAUUUGGGAUUUCUCUUGAGCUUUGCCAAUUCCGCAGCAAGAAUGAAGCCCAUCAACCUGUUCUUCGCAGCCUGUGGGUUUCUGGGCACUUACCACUUGGGGGCGGCAGCUGCCUUUUGUAGGCACGGCAAGGAACUCCUGAAGAAUGUCCAGGCUUUCGCAGGGGCCACUGCAGCAUCCUUGGUUGCUUCUGUCCUGCUAACGGCACCAGGAAAAAUAGAGGAAUGCAAUGAAUUUACCUAUAAGCUGGCCGCGGAAACCAGAAGGCAGUUUCUCAGGGCAGUGACACCGGGUUAUGACUUCAUGGCCCGCCUGAGGAGCGGGAUGGAGUCCAUUCUUCCUACUAACGCCCAUGAGCUGGCCCAGAAUCGACUGCACGUGUCUAUCACCAACACCAAGCCCGGCAGAAUUACCUGGUCUCAGAUUUUUCCUCCAGGGAAGACCUCAUUAAGGUCCUCCUGGCUAGGAGCUUUGUGCCCAUUUACGCCAGACUGAGACCAGUGGAAUACCAAGGACAGCUUUUCUCAUCCACAAAGCUUCCGAGGCUUCCACAUUUAUGAAGAAAUGUU
rnacentral:lncRNA from 1 species